rnacentral:misc_RNA from 1 species
GAAAUGCGAUGAGUAAUGUGAAUUGCAGAAUUCAGUGAAUCAUCGAAUCUUUGAACGCACCUUGCGCUCCUUGGUAUUCCUUGGAGCAUGCCUGUUUGAGUAUCAUGAAAUCUUCAAAGUAAAUCUUUUGUUAACUCAAUUGGUUUCUACUUUGGUAUUGGAGGUCUUUGCAGCUUCACACCUGCUCCUCUUUGUUCAUUAGCUGGAUCUCAGUGUUAUGCUUGGUUCCACUCGGCGUGAUAAGUUAUCUAUCGCUGAGGACACUGUAAAAGGUGGCCAAGGUAAAUGCAGAUGAACCGCUUCUAAUAGUCCAUUGACUUGGACAAUACUUUUAUGAUCUGAUCUCAAAUCAGGUAGGACUACCCGCUGAACUUAAGC